rnacentral:rRNA from 1 species
AGAGUUUGAUCCUGGCUCAGGAUGAACGCUGGCGGCGUGCCUAAUACAUGCAAGUCGAGCGAGGUGCCUUUGUAGCAAUACGAGGGUAUCCUAGUGGCGAACGGGUGAGUAACGCGUUGGUGACCUGCCCCGAAGUGCGGGAUAACAGUCCGAAAGGACUGCUAAUACCGCAUGCGGCCAUCGGGUUUAGAAACCGAUGUCCAAAGCAGCAAUGCGCUUUGGGAGGGACCUGCGUCCCAUCAGCUAGUUGGUAGGGUAACGGCCUACCAAGGCGACGACGGGUAGGGGACCUGAGAGGGUGACCCCCCACAAUGGAACUGAAAUACGGUCCAUACACCUACGGGUGGCAGCAGUAGGGAAUAUUGCACAAUGGGCGAAAGCCUGAUGCAGCAACGCCGCGUGCACGAUGAAGGUCUUCGGAUCGUAAAGUGCUUUUCUGGGAGAUGAGAAUGGACAGUAUCCCAGGAAUAAGUCUCGGCUAACUACGUGCCAGCAGCCGCGGUAAAACGUAGGAGGCAAGCGUUAUCCGGAUUCACUGGGCGUAAAGCGCGUGCAGGCGGCUCGGUAAGUUGGGCGUGAAAUCUCCUGGCUUAACUAGGAGAGGCCGUUCAAUACUACCGGGCUAGAGAGCAGUAGAGGAAGAUGGAAUUCCCGGUGUAGUGGUGAAAUGCGUAGAUAUCGGGAGGAACACCAGUGGCGAAGGCGAUCUUCUGGACUGUUUCUGACGCUCAGACGCGAAAGCUAGGGUAGUAAACGGGAUUAGAGACCCCGGUAACCCUAGCCGUAAACGAUGUGAACUU